GAUGAAGAACGCAGCGAAAUGCGAUACGUAAUGUGAAUUGCAGAAUUCAGUGAAUCAUCGAAUCUUUGAACGCAUAUUGCGCUCUCUGGUAUUCCGGAGAGCAUGCUUGUUUGAGUAUCAGUAAACACCUCAACUCCCCUUUCUUUUUUUGAAAUGGGAGCUGGACUUGAGUGAUCCCAACGCUUUUCUCACCGAAAAGUGGCGGGUUACUUGAAAUGCAGGUGCAGCUGGACUUUUCUCUGAGCUAAAAGCAUAUCUAUUUAGUCUGCCUAAAAAACCGAUUAUUACCUUUGCUGCAGCUAACAUAAAGGAGAUUAGUUCUUGUGCUGACUGAUGCAGGAUUCACAGAGACAGCUUCGGCUGGCCUUUGUAAACUCGAUCUCAAAUCAAGUAAGACUACCCGCUGAACUUAAGCAUAUCAAUAAGCGGAGGA
rnacentral:misc_RNA from 1 species